GGCCAGCAGCCGCGGUAAUACAGAGGGGGCAAGCGUUAUUCGGAAUUAUUGGGCGUAAAGGGCGCGUAGGCGGUUUUUUAAGUCGGAUGUGUAAUCCCCGGGCUCAACCUGGGAACUGCAUCCGAGACUGGAAGACUAGAGUACUGGAGAGGGUGGUGGAAUUCCUCGUGUAGCGGUGAAAUGCGUAGAGAUGAGGAGGAACACCAGUGGCGAAGGCGGCCACCUGGACAGUAACUGACGCUGAGGCGCGAAAGUGUGGGUAGCAAACAGGAUUAGAUACCCUGGUAGUCCACGCUGUAAACGAUGAACACUUGGUGUGGUGGGAGUUGACCCCUGCCGUGCCGGAGCUAACGCGUUAAGUGUUCCGCCUGGGGAGUACGGUCGCAAGGCUGAAACUUAAAGGAAUUGGCGGGGGA
rnacentral:rRNA from 1 species